rnacentral:lncRNA from 1 species
CUUUCCAACAGCCACUGCCUUAUGGAGACUGUAUCAGUAAGCAGCGGAGCUGGGAUUCCAGACACGUGGCUGGGCCUCUGCAGGAAGAAAUCAAACGUGUGGAAGGGUUGGGGAGAGGAGAUGCCUAGAAGGGAUUUUCCUGUAUUCUCUUAGUGGUGGGGCCCAGGAUGUGGCAGCUGGUGGUGUUGGCUGAGCAGUCCCUCUCCAGGGGAAGGGGCUGGAUGAGUUCAGAGAGUUUGGCUGGGCGUGCCAGGCGCAACAGCAUGAUGUCCUGGUCAUGGCUGGCGGCAUCAUAGUCAGGGUGGAUCACAGCCCGGACAACAGAACUCUGCUCCUGGGAA